CUCGCUCUAGCGAGUGGCUGUUAACCACUGGGUCGGGGGUUCGAAUCCCUCCGCCGGAGCCA
rnacentral:tRNA from 1 species